CUCAACGCUCCUUCCCUUCCUUCCCUCUCCAAGUCUCUCUCUCUCUCUCUCUCUCUCAGCGCGCACACGCCCACAUUUUCUCCCCCAGUCUCCCUCUCCCACGGUCUCACCCACUUUCUAUUUUCCUUUCUCCUACACCCUCCCUCCUCAUCUCGCCGACUCUGACACUUGCCCCUUCCUCUUCCUUUCUGCCACACUGCCCCCUCUUUCUCUCCCUUUUCUCCCUGGCUCCUUCCCUCUCCCCGCCCCGCAGAUUGUGAGCCCGCCCUUGACCGGGCAACCGCCACCUGUGCAGAUAUUGGCUGAGUGGCCACAGCUGGAGGACCUGCCCCGGGUGGGCGCUAGACCCAGGAGGCUUUAGGGCCAGCGAGUGCCUGCCACGUUCCUUUCCUGUCUGCCACAAGACUGGAACCAUUCAGGCGUUGUGCCAGGGGAGAGGCUGCUCCAUCACCUGGGUCCCAGAGUGAAACUGCAGAGGCCCAGCCGGCCGCCAGUGGACAUGUGUAAGUGAGAGAUACUUACAUUACACGUUGUAGGCCAUUGCGGUUUCUAGAGUCAUCUGAUAUUGCUGGAUAGUCACGGUCCCUUGGUCUGCCUUAGUGAGUCACAAGCUCAGCCAGGCUGGUUCCAAUACUCACUAGCUGUGAUGGAUUUUCAAAGACAAACCUGGCAAUUCAGCCCAGGCUUCUUUACAAUGGAACAGCACCUCCUAUCAAGAGGUGGAGUAUAUUUCAUUGCUCCUUGAACUUUGGACUGGCCUUGAGACUUGCUCUGGCCCAUAGAACCCAGUAGAAGUGAUGCAGUGUGGCUUCCAAGGUUAUGCCUUAAGAGACCUGGCAGCCUUAGCUUUCCCCUUCUCCGAAAAAUACCCAAGACCACCAUGCUGUGAAGCUAUCUAGGAUGAAAGGCCGCACGGAGAGAGAUGCCCAGCAGUUGCAGCCCUCACAGCAGACCACUAGCUGAAUGCAGCCACGUGAAUAAGCUCAGGUGGGGCCAGCACAAGAAGCACUGUUUAAAGCUAGUGGAGUGGUUUCAAGUGGUUUAAAGCUAGCUCGAGUGGUUUGUUAUGCUGCAGUGAAUGACUAGGUGAGGCAGCCAUAUUGUGACCAUGAGGGAAAGACCAUGAGAACUGAAGGGAAAUGGACUCAGAACCCAGAUAUUGUAAGGCUCCUGGAGAAACCCUGGAAACAUCUACUUCUCAACGUUUUCGCUUGUGAGCUAAUGAAACACCCUAUGGUUAAGCUACUGUGAGUCAGAGUGUCUGUUAUUUACAGCUGAACACAUCCUGAUUCAAGGAGGAAAUAUAUAAAUGUGCAGCAGAUAUGACUUCAUCUCCAAUUUGCUGCCCCUUGAGAGUAUGGCGACCCAAUUUUCCUCUGUUAGGAUAUUCUUUCUCUGCAUCCUCCACAUGCUCCCCUCUGAAGCUUAGAUAUUGUCUUCUCUGGAUAGCCAACUUCCAAGUCCCAGGCUGGAUCUCACACCCCUCCACUGAACUGUCUUAGUCCUGCAUACACCUGCUUUCAUAGCAUAUGUCACAUGGUCUUGUAAUGGCAACUUUUCCACAAGAUGUGUGCUCUGUGAGGGCAGGAAAGAAGAAGAGAAAAGGGAGUCAGUGAUAUCAACCUCCUCAGCAGACUUUCACUUUUAUCUCAUUGCCCAGACCUACCACAUGGUAGGCACCCUAGCUGCAAGGAAGGCUUGCAAAGUGACGAUUUCACCCUUCCAACUUCUAUAGUGGAAGACACGCAAAGGAGAAGAGUACUGGGAAUGGAAGCAUGGGUUGGCCACCAAGCAGCAUUUGCCACAAAUGACAAAAUAUUUUAAGUUCUUUGAUGUUUUAGCCAUAACAUUAUUUUUAUUUUUUUCUAAAUGGGAAUAUUUUAUUAUUUUUUCCUAACUCUAAAAGCAACGAAGCUUGUUUUAAAAAUUGAAACCUUAUGGGUUAUGGAGUGAGGUUCCUAAAAUCUUUUUCCUUUAGAUAUAAUCUUAUGAACAAUUAAAUCUAUGUAUUAUUUUGGCAUAAAAUAUUUUUUGUCCAAGCAUAAAAAUAUUUUAGACACUUAUUUGUAAAAGUGGGUUAUAUAACAUAUACUGUUUUGUUAUCUACUUGUUUUUUUUUUAACUUAAGACUAGCAUGGCCAUUGUACAUAGUUAUACAAAUAGAGAUGACUUAACCUUUUUUAACAGUGGGAUAAUUUCAGUAUUAGUUAUCUAUUGCUAUAUCAUAAAUUACCACAAACUUAGUGGCUUAUAACAACACAUAUUUAUUAUCUCACAAUUGCUGUGGGCCAGGAAUCUGGGCUUUGCUUAGCUGCAUUCUCUGUUUUAGGGUCUCUCAUUAGACUGAAAAGUGUCUUCCAGGAUUGAGUUAUCUUCUGAAGGCUUGACUGGGGAAGAAAGAAUCUUGCUAUGGUUUGAAUGUCCCCUCCAAAACUCAUGUUGACAUUUAAUUGCCAUUGUGAUGGUAUUAAGAGGUGAGACCGUUAAGAGGUAACUAGGCCAUAAGGACUCUGCCCUCAUAAAUGAAUUAAUGUUAUCAUGAGAGUGUGUUUGUUAUUGCGAAAGUAGGUUAUUGUAAAAGCAAGUUUGGCUCUCUCUUCCUUGCUUGCUCUCCCUCAUGUGUGCCCUCUCACCCUUCUACCUUUUGCCAUGGGGUGAUGUGGGAAGAAGGCCCUUGCGAGUUGCUGGAAAUUUGAUAUUGGAUUUCUCAGCCUCCAGAACUGUGAGAAAUAAAUUUCUUUUCUUUGUAAAAUAU
rnacentral:lncRNA from 10 species